rnacentral:rRNA from 1 species
AACAAACGCUGGCGGCGUGCCUAAUACAUGCAAGUCGAACGGGGAAAGCUUUCGGGUGAGUACUAGUGGCGCACGGGUGAGUAACGCGUGGAUAAUCUGCCUUAGAGUGGGGGAUAACUAGUCGAAAGAUUAGCUAAUACCGCAUAAGACCACAAGAACUGCGGUUCAAGGGGUCAAAGGUUUUUCGCUCUAAGAUGAGUCCGCGUAAGAUUAGCUAGUUGGUGAGGUAAUGGCUCACCAAGGCGACGAUCUUUAACUGGUCUGAGAGGAUGAUCAGUCACACUGGAACUGAGACACGGUCCAGACUCCUACGGGAGGCAGCAGUAGGGAAUAUUGCACAAUGGAGGAAACUCUGAUGCAGCGACGCCGCGUGAGUGAUGAAGGCCUUCGGGUCGUAAAGCUCUGUCGCAGGGGAAUAACACAAUGAAUGUACCCUGUAAGAAAGGAUCGGCUAACUUCGUGCCAGCAGCCGCGGUAAAAC